rnacentral:rRNA from 1 species
UACGUAGGUGACAAGCGUUAUCCGGAUUUAUUGGGCGUAAAGCGCACGCAGGCGGUCUUUCAAGUCUGACGUGAAAUCUCUCGGCUUAACCGGGAGCGGUCGUUGGAAACUGAAGGACUUGAGGCGAUGAGAGGGGUGUGGAAUUCCCGGUGUAGAGGUGAAAUUCGUAGAUAUCGGGAGGAACACCAGUGGCGAAGGCGGCGACCUGGGCCAAUACUGGACGCUGAGGUGCGGAAAAGCGUGGGGAGCAAAC